GCAUGUCUAAGUAUAAGCACUCUUUUACUGUGAAACUGCGAAUGGCUCAUUAAAUCAGUUAUCGUUUAUUUGAUAGUACCCUACUACAUGGAUACCUGUGGUAAUUCUAGAGCUAAUACAUGCGCAAAACCCCGACUUCGGAAGGGGUGUAUUUAUUAGAUAAAAAACCAAUGCCCUUCGGGGCUCCUUGGUGAUUCAUAAUAACUUCACGAAUCGCAUGGCCUUGCGCCGGCGAUGGUUCAUUCAAAUUUCUGCCCUAUCAACUUUCGAUGGUAGGAUAGUGGCCUACCAUGGUGGCAACGGGUAACGGGGAAUUAGGGUUCGAUUCCGGAGAGGGAGCCUGAGAAACGGCUACCACAUCCAAGGAAGGCAGCAGGCGCGCAAAUUACCCAAUCCCGAUACGGGGAGGUAGUGACAAUAAAUACUGAUACAGGGCUCUUUUGGGUCUUGUAAUUGGAAUGAGAACAAUCUAAAUCCCUUAACGAGGAACAAUUGGAGGGCAAGUCUGGUGCCAGCAGCCGCGGUAAUUCCAGCUCCAAUAGCGUAUAUUAAAGUUGUUGCAGUUAAAAAGCUCGUAGUUGAACCUUGGGCCCGUCCUGCCGGUCCGCCUCACCGCGAGUACUGGUCCGGAUGGGCCUUUCUUUCUGGGGAAUCCCAUGGCCUUCACUGGCUGUGGCGGGGAACCAGGACUUUUACUGUGAAAAAAUUAGAGUGUUCAAAGCAGGCCUUUGCUCGGAUACAUUAGCAUGGAAUAAUAGAAUAGGACGUGCGGUUCUAUUUUGUUGGUUUCUAGGACCGCCGUAAUGAUUAAUAGGGAUAGUCGGGGGCGUCAGUAUUCAGCUGUCAGAGGUGAAAUUCUUGGAUUUGCUGAAGACUAACUACUGCGAAAGCAUUCGCCAAGGAUGUUUUCAUUAAUCAGGGAACGAAAGUUAGGGGAUCGAAGACGAUCAGAUACCGUCGUAGUCUUAACCAUAAACUAUGCCGACUAGGGAUCGGGCGGGGUUUCUAUGAUGACCCGCUCGGCACCUUACGAGAAAUCAAAGUUUUUNGGUNCUGGGGGGAGUAUNGNCGC
rnacentral:rRNA from 1 species